AUUGAACGCUGGCGGCAGGCCUAACACAUGCAAGUCGAGCGGAUGAAGGGAGCUUGCUCCUGGAUUCAGCGGCGGACGGGCGAGUAAUGCCUAGGAAUCUGCCGGGUAUUGGGGAAUAGGGUCGGGAAAGGGGGCCUAAUCCCGCAUCGGUCCAGAGGGAGAACGGGGGGGUUCUUCGGACCUCACCCGUCCAGCUGACCCUAGGUCGGAUUAGCUAGUUGGUGGGGUAAAGGCCUACCAAGGCGACGAUCCGUAACUGGUCUGAGAGGAUGAUCAGUCACACUGGAACUGAGACACGGUCCAGACUCCUACGGGAGGCAGCAGUGGGGAAUAUUGGACAAUGGGCGAAAGCCUGAUCCAGCCGUGCCGCGUGUGUGAAGAAGGUCUUCGGAUUGUAAAGCACUUUAAGUUGGGAGGAAGGGCAGUAAGUUAAUACCUUGCUGUUUUGACGUUACCAACAGAAUAAGCACCGGCUAACUUCGUG
rnacentral:rRNA from 1 species